UACCCCAUCCACCCCCAUGGACACUUGCAAGAAAGAAUUAAAAGGACCUGCUGGGUGUGGAAGUAGACACUUGUAAAAAAAGAAUUAAAAGGUCCUCCCAGUUGGAGCGCCAACACGCCAACCUCUGCACCUGAAGAUAAUGAAGUAAUAUACAUAGAACUUGGAAUAGACUUGCAUGACAAGAAGCAGAGACCAGGAAACCUUUACAAGGGGACAAAAAAAGGACACAGCUGGAUGGGGAGAGGCAGAUUUAGUUUGGAAUGUCCUUCCUCUACAAGUGCUGAGGGUAAAGCCAGCUCUUCAAGCAGGUCAUGACACCUUCCAGACACCAAGUAACAGAUGUUACCAUGACUCCAUCCUGACUUCUCUGGACAGACGGCCUCACCAAUGUGUCCUGGACCCCCGUAUCUCCAGAGAUUUGGUUCACUAUGGAAAGAUAGAAACAGGCUGGGGUUAUGGAUUAACCUGUCAAUACCCAUGCUCAGCAGAGUAGUAAUUACAGAAGCCAGAACUCCUACCUUCUGCUCUCCAUAAACAACCUUGAUCCUCCUAGCGGGGGAGCAGUGAUAGGAGGAAGAUAAGAGGGCUCUGAACUCCAGCUCCAUCAGCACCCAGAGAGAGAAAAGGGAAAGGAGAGGGACAUAUGGAAGUGGUUAUGAUGUUAUGAGUGGCUUAGAGGGGAAUAGAGGAUUGAAUUAGAAAAAGAUCGAAUCAGAAAAAGAAGGGGCAACUAUGUAUAAAUGUGGACAGGUAGUUGCAGAGAAGAUGGUUGGCCCAUGUGUACAACCUUAGGGGAACUGUGGUGGAUUGCAGUGGGGAGACUGAAAAUUCAGAACUGUGGUGGUGGGAAUGGUAUGGAUUCAAACCCCUGUCAACAUGUAAUUCCGUAAUAUAAAAAUAAAUUAAAAAAAUCUA